GUCUUCCUAUUACCAGGGAAAGAAGGGAGGAUAACAUCUAAAGCAUCUUCUGCACAGUUUAUUGGGUAGAUCUCUAUUUUGCACAUAUUCGUAUGGAGGCCACUGGCGUCAGCAAAGAAAAAUAAGAUUCGCCGCAAAGCCGAUAAUUCGUUUUUUUGUAGGUUUGGCGAAAAUGGCAACAUCAUCAGCAUAAAGUGAACAUUGGAAUCUUCUUUGUCUUUGGAAGAGAUUAGAUAAAAUGUUUGCUUCCUCUGCCUCCUUCAUGAUUUGUUGUAGGGGUUCCAUAGCUAAAAUGAAAAGCAUAGGUGAUAGAGGGUCACCCUGUCUUAGGCCCCGUGCAUGAUAAAUAUGGUCCCCUGGUGCACCAUUAAGUAAAAUCCUGGAGGAGGAUGUACCUAACAAGUUAGCAACCCAGUUGCGCCAUUUUUGACCAAAACCGAAAUUUUGGAGAGUCUCAAGAAGAUAUGCCCAGUUGACGGAGUCAAAAGCUUUAGAGAUGUCCACCUUGAUAAAGAGAGAAGACUUCUUUUGCCGAUGAAGCAGUUUCACCAUGUUUUGUACAUAAAGAAAGUUGUCAUGAAUCACCCUUUUCCGAAUGAAAGCACUUUGAUUUUGAGAGAUUAGGAGAUUGAGCUUCGGGGGGCCAAUCUAUUUGCCAGGAUUUUGGCUAGGAUCUUGGCAAAGCUGUGCAUAAGACUAAUCGGCCUAUACUCUCCAACUCUGGUCAACUUCAAUAAUCUCCGAUCCCACGCCCGCUUAAAAAAGGUUCCAAUGAAGCCAUCAGGCCCUGGAGCUUUCUCAAGGGCCAAAUUUGAAACCACUUCUUUGAUCUCCUCUUCAUCGAAAUCUGCAUCCAGGUCUGAGAGAUCAACCUCCGGUAAAUGCAGCCUCUCCCAGUUUAAACAUUUUGUUCUUGUCGAAGGGACUCCUAAUCUUUGAUUGAAAAAAGGUUGAAGUUCAGCCUUCUUUUGGUCACAUGUGAUUGCAGUGCCAGAUGGGGUUUCAAGACUGUGUAUGAAAUUCUUCCUCUUUCUCGAAUUUGUUUUCAUGUGAAAAAAUUUUGAGUUAACAUCUCCACAUUUUAGCCAAGUCAAUCUCGAGCGCUGGCGAAUUCUUAUCUUUUCAAGACUUGCUAGACCAAGGAUCUUUUCUUUUAGUUCCUUUCGCAGCCAAAGUUCAUCAUCAGAGAGGGAUCUUGUCUCCUGAGCCACAUCAAGCUGGAAAAUCACUUCGUUUGCAAUUGCUAGUCUCAGUCAGAAAUCACCAAUAUUUGUCUUGCUCCAUCUUCGAAUAUCUCGUGCUAGGCAGCAAAGUUUAAGAUGAAAUUUUGCAAAAGGAUUGGUUGAUCCAAUUGGUCUGUUCCAAGAAUUUGAUACAACCUCUAGAAAGUCUGGCAUUUUAAGCCAGUAAGCUUCAAAGAGGAAAUUUCUAUUAAUUUCUCUUUGCUCAGAGCCGACAAUGAAGAGGGCGGCAUGAUCAGAGCUUGAAGAGGAGAGUGCGGACAUAUAAGCAGAUCCAAAAAGAAUAUCCCAACUUGGGGUGAAGAAAGCUCGAUCGAUCUUGGUCUGUGUUGGGUUUGACCGAGCUUAGGCCCAAGUGAAACGCCUACCAGAGAGUGGCAACUCUUUAAUCCCAAGUCUAUCUAUCGUUCCCCUGAAGCUCUGCAUUAGUCUCAUGUUCAAGCGAUCAUUAUUUUUAUCGGAAGCCUUGUAAAUAAGGUUGAAAUCACCUAUUAUUAGCCAAGCUGGGUUCAUGCAGAGUUCUAGAUGCUGCAGCUCUUCUAGGAAAAGGACUUUCUGCUCUUCUGACUGUGGUCCAUAAACCACAGUGAUUGACCAUGCAAUGUUUUCAUCUUUCAUCGUGAUCGUGGCCGACAGACUGAAAUCUUUGAUCAAAACAUCUGAGAGUGUGAAGUGGCUAUUGUCACAAGCCAGUAAAAUACCUCCCCUAGUGCCGAUUGCUGGGAGAAAGGCAUAGUCAGAAACAAACCGGGAGCCCAAAGUCUGGAGCACCACAGGAUCUGAAAAGACUUCCAGUUUUGUUUCUUGAAGACAUACAAUUGUAGCUUUCAUUUCAUCGACUAGAAGUUUAACAUUAGCUUUCCUGCUUGGGUUGUUAAGCCCUCUUACAUUCCAGUUGAGAACAAAGCAGUUUUGCUGAGACAUAACAAAAGGCAUGCUGCGACUAACAGUUGAUUGAAACCUAGGGGGUUAUGACUUGAGGGAAGACACAGGCGAACAUCUCUGAAACACAGCCAAGACAGAUGGCAGAAACACGAAGAGAUGAUUAGGGCGCUGCAAGCUUCCAUCGAGGAUAAAUUGGGAACUACUUCAUUGCGGUCACUCCGGUGCCUCCUCCAGUACAUUGGCAAGGGCACGGGCAUCUUGACAUCAAAGUUGCUCUUCAGGCCGGUGCGACCGUGGAUGACUUCUUCCUCCCGCCAAGGCGGAUCGACUUGCAACCUCCCUUCUCCACCAAAGUUGGAAUGGUCUUCACAGCCACGGGGGAGAGAUUUAAUGCAGGCAUCAAGUUUUUUGUUAUCAUCAAGAACACCGAAAUUAUUUGCAAGAAUUUCUUGGGCAAUGGUCUCUAUCUCGAGUUUCGUCUUGCUUUGCUUGCUAAGCGCACACUGUGUCGCUGCGGAGAAAAAGUCACCUUGUUACGACAGGGGCGCCGAGUCAUGUCGCCUGGAGCUGGGAGCAUUGGCGUCGUCAGCUCUGCAAGGAAGGCUUCAACCGGCUGCUCCCUUGCCCUCUCCGGUGUCGCAAGCGUCGCCUGUCCUGCAGCAGAGAGCACAAAGACAGGGGAAACCGGCCUGGGUUUAAUAUACUUAAGAACUAGCAUUGUGGUCCGCGCAGAUUGCACGGCUAGCAUCAUUA